rnacentral:rRNA from 1 species
GACGAACGCUGGCGGCGUGCUUAACACAUGCAAGUCGAACGGAAAGGCCCUGCUUUUGUGGGGUGCUCGAGUGGCGAACGGGUGAGUAACACGUGAGUAACCUGCCCUUGACUUUGGGAUAACUUCAGGAAACUGGGGCUAAUACCGGAUAGGAGCUCCUGCUGCAUGGUGGGGGUUGGAAAGUUUCGGCGGUUGGGGAUGGACUCGCGGCUUAUCAGCUUGUUGGUGGGGUAGUGGCUUACCAAGGCUUUGACGGGUAGCCGGCCUGAGAGGGUGACCGGCCCCAUUGGGACUGAGGUACGGCCCAGACUCCUACGGGAGGCAGCAGGGGGGAAUAUUGCACAAUGGGCGGAAGCCUGAUGCAGCAACGCCGCGUGCGGGAUGACGGCCUUCGGGUUGUAAACCGCUUUCGCCUGUGACGAAGCGUGAGUGACGGUAAUGGGUAAAGAAGCACCGGCUAACUACGUG